rnacentral:sRNA from 1 species
UAUUCUGCCCUACGGGGAAGGAUGAGAAGGUUCGACUCGAGCGUAGCGAGAGAACGUUGCCGAAGGCAACGGCCCGAAGGGCGAGGCGCUUUAGCGCCGAGUCAUCCUUCCCCCACCGCUG